UCUCGGUCCCCUAAGCCUUCCCUCUGCUUCAGAAACCUAAAGACCUGCUGUGCCGUCGAUGUCAAAUGGUGAUUGGUCUGCUGCUCGCGGACCGAUGGGAAUCGCUUGACAGUGACCCUUAAUCACCCAGAGCGACUCUGGCAGCUCGUCCUGAUUACUUCAACACUCGCGUGACGGUGACACAUUUUGUGUGGGAACGCAGAUUUGCGUGUUUUGGUUCCUGACAGCGCCGAGCUCUGAACACUCAGAGCACCGGGAGGACGGCGGCGGGGAGAGCGGGACCAGCUGAAAGAGGCUGUAUGACUGUGACGUGGAAGAUCAACAAUCGGAUGUUACCGCUGGUGAAGUCUACGAAGAAGGAGACGACGACAGGAAGUGGUUGGAGGAAGAUGGCGUGGUGUCAUCGCUGCAGCAGAGUUAUGGAACAAACAGAGCUGUUUGACGGGAUUCUCCUCAGCCAUCCGUCUAACGCCGCCGCCACGCCGAAAUGAAUCUGUCUGGGCGUCUGUCAAGUCGUACAUCUUCCCAAAGGUGCACCAACACAUGCUCGAGCGAGGACAACAGCUGGAUUGUCAUCACCCAGCUCAUCCAAUACCCCAAUUACAGAAAGCAUCCUGCCAAGGCAACGAAGGAGUGGCUUGAGAAGAGGAUACCCUGAGAUCAAGGAAC